AACAAACACAAAAUCAAUUAAAUCAUGAAAAAUAUUAAUAAUGAUCCAAAAAAUAAUUUUAAUUCAAAAUAUGAAAGAGGAAAUUAUUUGAAAUUUUUUGGUGAAACUGUCAUAUUUUUUAGAUCAAUAUUAAAAUUAACAUGAAUUAAUGAAAAUAAAAGGAAUAAAUGAAAAUAAGAAAAUAUAAAAAAAAAUGUGAGCCACUUGAUCUUCCUCAUUAAUUGAGGUGGCAGAUCAAGUGGUCUGAAACGC
rnacentral:lncRNA from 1 species